CAAUAGCGUAUAUUAAAGUUGUUGCGGUUAAAAAGCUCGUAGUUGGAUUUCUGCUGAGAACGACCGGUCCGCCCUCUGGGUGUGUAUCUGGCUCUUUCUUGGCAUCUUCUUGGAGAACGUAACUGCACUUGGCUGUGUGGUGCGGUAUUCAGGACUUUUACUUUGAGGAAAUUAGAGUGUUUCAAGCAGGCACACGCCUUGAAUACAUUAGCAUGGAAUAAUAAGAUAGGACCUCGGUUCUAUUUUGUUGGUUUCUAGAUCUGAGGUAAUGAUUAAUAGGGAUAGUUGGGGGCAUUCGUAUUUAACUGUCAGAGGUGAAAUUCUUGGAUUUGUUAAAGACGGACUACUGCGAANGNAUUUGCNAAGGAUGUUUNCAUUG
rnacentral:rRNA from 1 species